rnacentral:rRNA from 1 species
UUAUGCCUACGGGGGGCAGCAGUGGGGAAUAUUGCACAAUGGGGGAAACCCUGAUGCAGCGACGCCGCGUGAGUGAAGAAGUAUCUCGGUACGUAAAGCUCUAUCAGCAGGGAAGAAAAAAAGUCUUUGGCUUUGGACGGUACCUGACUAAGAAGCCCCGGCUAACUACGUGCCAGCAGCCGCGGUAAUACGUAGGGGGCAAGCGUUAUCCGGAUUUAUUGGGUUUAAAGGGUGCGUAGGCGGACAGUCAAGUCAGCGGUAAAAAUGCGGUGCUCAACGCCGUACAGCCGUUGAACCUGGCAGUC